GACGACCGCUGGCGGCGUUCUUAACACAUUCAAGUCGAACGGAAAUGCCCUGCUUUUGUGGGGUGCUCGCGUGGCUAACGGGUGAGUAACACGUUAGUAACCUGCCCUUGACUUUGGGAUCACUUCAUGUAACUGGGGCUUAUACCUGAUAGGAGCUCCUGCUGCAUGGUGUGGGUUGGAAAGUUUCGGCGGUUGGGGAUGGACUCGCGGCUUAUCAGCUUGUUGGUGGGGUAGUGGCUUACCAAGGCUUUGACGGGUAGCCGGCCUGAGAGGUUGACCGGCCACAUUGGGAAGGAGAUACGGCACAGACUCCUACGGGAGGGAGCAGGGGGGAAGAUUGGACAAUGGGCGGAAGCGUGAUGUAGGAACGCCGCGUGCGGGAGGACGGCCAGCGGGAUGGAAACCGCUUUCGACAGUGACGAAGAGUGAGUGAAGGUAAGGGGUAAAGAAGCACAGGCUAACUAAGUG
rnacentral:rRNA from 1 species